AAAAUCCAAAAUAUAUUUUAAAUAAAUUCCAAUUAAAUCUUAAUUUAAUCUAAAUUAAAAUUUUAGUAGUUCUUAUUUAAAUUCUAAAUCAAAUCUUAACUAAAUCCUAAACAAAUCGUAAAUAAAUCCUAAACAAAUCCUAAAUUCUAACUAAUUCUUAAAUCCUAAACCAAAUCCUAAUCAAAUUAACUUAAUCUUAAGGCAGUUUAGAAUCUCAAUAUCUAUCAAUUAUACUAUUGAUCUUGCUUAAGAUUUUAUACACCUCUCAAUAACUAAGUUGGCAACAAACACACAAAAUUUGAAGAUCAAAUUUACUAAAUAGAAUAACAAUCCUAAAUUCUGCUUGAGUAUUGGCCGACCUUCUAUUCCAAUCUGAAUGUUAAACUUCUAGUGCUAAUAUCUCUUUUUUGAACCAUUGAAUUGCCUCUAAA
rnacentral:lncRNA from 1 species